rnacentral:rRNA from 1 species
CAGCAGCCGCGGGAAUACGGAGGGCGCGAGCGUUACCCGGAUUUACUGGGCGUAAAGGGCGUGUAGGCGGCCUGGGGCGUCCCAUGUGAAAGGCCACGGCUCAACCGUGGAGGAGCGUGGGAUACGCUCAGGCUAGAGGGUGGGAGAGGGUGGUGGAAUUCCCGGAGUAGCGGUGAAAUGCGCAGAUACCGGGAGGAACGCCGAUGGCGAAGGCAGCCACCUGGUCCACUUCUGACGCUGAGGCGCGAAAGCGUGGGGAGCAAACCGGAUUAGAGACCCCCGUAGUCCCUGUCUCUUAUAC